rnacentral:rRNA from 2 species
GGGUGAGUAACACGUGGGCAACCUACCCUAUAGUUUGGGAUAACUCCGGGAAACCGGGGCUAAUACCGAAUAAUCUCUUUUGCUUCAUGGUGAAAGACUGAAAGACGGUUUCGGCUGUCGCUAUAGGAUGGGCCCGCGGCGCAUUAGCUAGUUGGUGAGGUAACGGCUCACCAAGGCGACGAUGCGUAGCCGACCUGAGAGGGUGAUCGGCCACACUGGGACUGAGACACGGCCCAGACUCCUACGGGAGGCAGCAGUAGGGAAUCUUCCACAAUGGGCGAAAGCCUGAUGGAGCAACGCCGCGUGAGUGAAGAAGGUUUUCGGAUCGUAAAACUCUGUUGUAAGGGAAGAACAAGUACAGUAGUAACUGGCUGUACCUUGACGGUACCUUAUUAGAAAGCCACGGCUAACUACGUGCCAGCAGCCGCGGAUAAUACGUAGGUGGCAAGCGUUGUCCGGAAUUAUUGGGCGUAAAGCGCGCGCAGGCGGUCCUUUAAGUCUGAUGUGAAAGCCCACGGCUCAACCGUGGAGGGUCAUUGGAAACUGGGGGACUUGAGUGCAGAAGAGGAAAGUGGAAUUUCCAAGUGUAGCGGUGAAAUGCGUAGAGAUUUGGAGGAACA